UACGGAGGAUGCAAGCGUUAUCCGGAAUCAUUGGGCGUAAAGCGUCCGUAGGUGGCUUUUCAAGUCUGCCGUCAAAGACCGGGGCUUAACCCCAGAAAGGCGGUGGAAACUGAAUAGCUAGAGUGCGGUAGGGGUAGAGGGAAUUCCCGGUGUAGCGGUGAAAUGCGUAGAGAUCGGGAAGAACACCGGUGGCGAAGGCGGCGACCUGGGUAGAUACUGACGCUGAGGUGCGAAAGCGUGGGGAGCAAACAGG
rnacentral:rRNA from 1 species